CAGAAUACCCUCUCUUAGUUGAAAAUGUUAAGCCACCAGAUGGAAUCACAGUCUAUAGAGGUAAUUACACUUGUUAUGCCAUGUAUGACGGGAUUGGUAAAUUCAUGGGUAAUUUUUCUAAAGGUUAUUGAGCCACUUACAGAACUGUUCCUAUACGCCUGUUGCAACACCAUACCAGGUCAUUGGGAGAUAUUUACUGGUUAUGUGGGGAUCUACAGUUAAGAUCUAGGCUGGAAACUGAGUGGUGGGGUGAGUGUACCCUGGCCAAAGUUAUCAUGCCCAUUCAUAUUAUUUCUGAUAAUCAUCAUGACACAUACGACCCUCCACAUACAUCAGCCAGAGUAAGGAGCGAAACCCCAGUAAAAGGCAGUUUUGACCCCCACAUUUACAUAGAUG
rnacentral:lncRNA from 1 species